rnacentral:tRNA from 1 species
GCCCCCGUAGUUAAAUGGAUAUAAUAGGGACCUCCUAAGUCUUAGUUGCUGGUUCGAUUCCAGCCGGGGGCACCA